UUUCAGGUGUCGCAAUCGCGAUUAAACGGGAAGACGGUAAAUCUUGUCAUGUUCAAGACCAAGCCGGCACUGCCCCCGCAACGGUAAGUGAGCCAAGCUAAACAAUUUGUCACUGUAAUGCAUCGCAUAUGGGAAGGCGUUUAGCAAAGUUUCUCUCACGAGUCCGGAGACCGGCCUGAAAUAG
rnacentral:ncRNA from 1 species